GUGCUCACCCUGCAGCCCUGGUUGGAAUGUCUGUGCUCCGGGCUGGAGACCACAGUAAACCUCUGCACAGAUGUGUCUCUACCACCAGCUGUGUGCCUGCUGCUCUGUAGCCCCUGGGAUUCACAGCCUUCCUUCCUCCCCUCCAGCUUCACAAGAGCACAUUGAACACCACCUCUGUCAUGUCCCAAGCCAGGCACCAAGGUCACAAGCAUAUUCCACUCCUCCCACCCUUCAAAGUGCUCACAGGUUACUGGAAGAGAAACAAGUAAACAGGUCUUCAGGAUACAAGGGACACAGCACAAUGACAGAGCUAGAACCAUUCUGGAUGCAAAGGAGAGAAGUUGAUUCAUCGCAACAACAGAUGCUGUCAGCCCUUCGGGCUGAAUUCCCGAGACCCACAUCUCAUCCUGCUUGUCAAACCUCUUGAUUCAGUGAAUCCCUGGUUCAUUCAGAAAACAAAACUCAUCACUUUCAAAGCCAAAGAAUCAUCAUGAGGAAGCUUAAUGUAAAUUUCCAAAAUGUAAAAGAAAAUAUUCCAAGAGCACUGGUCUUCGAAACAGACCACGGAGGGUUAAAAGUCAAGGCCUCCUCCCACAAAUAAAAGAAACCCAAAAUG